GUGUACCCGCGGCAAGACGGAAAGACCCCGUGAACCUUUACUAUAGCUUGACACUGAACAUUGAGCCUUGAUGUGUAGGAUAGGUGGGAGGCUUUGAAGUGUGGACGCCAGUCUGCAUGGAGCCGACCUUGAAAUACCACCCUUUAAUGUUUGAUGUUCUAACGUGGACCCGUGAUCCGGGUUGCGGACAGUGUCUGGUGGGUAGUUUGACUGGGGCGGUCUCCUCCUAAAGAGUAACGGAGGAGCACGAAGGUUGGCUAAUCCUGGUCGGACAU
rnacentral:rRNA from 1 species